AGCGAACGCUGGCGGCAGGCCUAAUACAUGCAAGUCGAGCGCCCCUUCGGGGGAGCGGCGGACGGGUGAGUAACGCGUGGGAACGUGCCCUUUGGUUCGGAACAACACAGGGAAACUUGUGCUAAUACCGAAUGUGCCCUUCGGGGAAGAUUAUCGCCAUUGGAGCGGCCCGCGUUGGAUUAGGUAGUUGGUGGGUAAAGGCCUACCAAGCCUACGAUCCAUAGCUGGUCUGAGAGGAUGAUCAGCCACACUGGGACUGAGACACGGCCCAGACUCCUACGGGAGGCAGCAGUAGGGAAUCUUGCGCAAUGGGCGAAAGCCUGACGCAGCCAUGCCGCGUGAAUGAUGAAGGUCUUAGGAUUGUAAAGCUCUUUUACC
rnacentral:rRNA from 1 species